AACGCUAGCUACAGGCUUAACACAUGCAAGUCGAGGGGCAGCAUUUCAGUUUGCUUGCAAACUGGAGAUGGCGACCGGCGCACGGGUGAGUAACACGUAUCCAACCUGCCGAUAACUCGGGGAUAGCCUUUCGAAAGAAAGAUUAAUACCCGAUGGUAUAAUCAGACCGCAUGGUCUUGUUAUUAAAGAAUUUCGGUUAUCGAUGGGGAUGCGUUCCAUUAGGCAGUUGGUGAGGUAACGGCUCACCAAACCUUCGAUGGAUAGGGGUUCUGAGAGGAAGGUCCCCCACAUUGGAACUGAGACACGGUCCAAACUCCUACGGGAGGCAGCAGUGAGGAAUAUUGGUCAAUGGGCGCAGGCCUGAACCAGCCAAGUAGCGUGAAGGAUGACUGCCCUAUGGGUUGUAAACUUCUUUUAUAUGGGAAUAAAGUUUUCCACGUGUGGAAUUUUGUAUGUACCAUAUGAAUAAGGAUCGGCUAACUCCGUGCCAGCAGCCGCGGUAAUACGGAGGAUCCGAGCGUUAUCCGGAUUUAUUGGGUUUAAAGGGAGCGUAGGUGGACAGUUAAGUCAGUUGUGAAAGUUUGCGGCUCAACCGUAAAAUUGCAGUUGAUACUGGCUGUCUUGAGUACAGUAGAGGUGGGCGGAAUUCGUGGUGUAGCGGUGAAAUGCUUAGAUAUCACGAAGAACUCCGAUUGCGAAGGCAGCUCACUGGACUGCAACUGACACUGAUGCUCGAAAGUGUGGGUAUCAAACAGGAUUAGAUACCCUGGUAGUCCACACAGUAAACGAUGAAUACUCGCUGUUUGCGAUAUACAGUAAGCGGCCAAGCGAAAGCAUUAAGUAUUCCACCUGGGGAGUACGCCGGCAACGGUGAAACUCAAAGGAAUUGACGGGGGCCCGCACAAGCGGAGGAACAUGUGGUUUAAUUCGAUGAUACGCGAGGAACCUUACCCGGGCUUAAAUUGCAUUUGAAUAUAUUGGAAACAGUAUAGCCGUAAGGCAAAUGUGAAGGUGCUGCAUGGUUGUCGUCAGCUCGUGCCGUGAGGUGUCGGCUUAAGUGCCAUAACGAGCGCAACCCUUAUCUUUAGUUACUAACAGGUCAUGCUGAGGACUCUAGAGAGACUGCCGUCGUAAGGUGUGAGGAAGGUGGGGAUGACGUCAAAUCAGCACGGCCCUUACGUCCGGGGCUACACACGUGUUACAAUGGGGGGUACAGAAGGCAGCUACCUGGUGACAGGAUGCUAAUCCCAAAAGCCUCUCUCAGUUCGGAUCGAAGUCUGCAACCCGACUUCGUGAAGCUGGAUUCGCUAGUAAUCGCGCAUCAGCCAUGGCGCGGUGAAUACGUUCCCGGGCCUUGUACACACCGCCCGUCAAGCCAUGAAAGCCGGGGGUACAAGAAGUACGUAACCGCAAGGAGCGUCCUAGGGUAAAACUGA
rnacentral:rRNA from 1 species